rnacentral:rRNA from 1 species
AUUGAACGCUGGCGGCAUGCCUUACACAUGCAAGUCGAACGGUAACAGGUCUUCGGAUGCUGACGAGUGGCGAACGGGUGAGUAAUACAUCGGAACGUGCCCGAUCGUGGGGGAUAACGAGGCGAAAGCUUUGCUAAUACCGCAUACGAUCUACGGAUGAAAGCGGGGGAUCUUCGGACCUCGCGCGGACGGAGCGGCCGAUGGCAGAUUAGGUAGUUGGUGGGAUAAAAGCUUACCGAGCCGACGAUCUGUAGCUGGUCUGAGAGGAUGAUCAGCCACACUGGGACUGAGACACGGCCCAGACUCCUACGGGAGGCAGCAGUGGGGAAUUUUGGACAAUGGGCGAAAGCCUGAUCCAGCCAUGCCGCGUGCAGGAUGAAGGCCUUCGGGUUGUAAACUGCUUUUGUACGGAACGAAAAGCCUCUUUCUAAUAAAGAGGGGUCAUGACGGUACCGUAAGAAUAAGCACCGGCUAACUACGUG